UCUCAAAAAUAAACAGAUAAUCAAUAAUUAUGUAUCCAGCUAGAUGUAACCACACAUGACUAUGGCCCCAGCUACUCAGGAGGAGGAGGUAGGAGGACUGAAUAAGUCCAGAUGUUCAAGGCUACAGUGAGCUGUAAUUGUACCACUGAAAAGACACUGUAUUCUAGCCUGGGCAACAUAGAGAGACCCCAUUUCUUAAUUAAUUCAUUAUUUAAGAAACAUAUAACUGGAGAAAUCAUCAUUCAAGUACUUGUAUACCUGGAGAAAAACAUAUGACCACUGAAUAAAGUACAACAGUUUACUACUGAUCAUAGAGUUCCUUUUACUUGCUUCUAAUCUUUUUAUUGCUUAUAAAACUAGAGACAUGGUUCUACAAUUAAAGGCAGUUUAUCACAGAACAAGUCAAAAAGUCAAAAGAACUGCAUCCAAAGUGUAGGAUGUGUUAUUCGCUGCUCCCUGCAAAUAGUGGAUUUGGUCAUAAAGAAUCAGCAGGACUUUUAGUGUGUACAUAUGUAUGUGCAAGAGCACGUGUGUAUAUGUGCAUGUACGUGUGUGUGUGUGUAAACUAUGACAGAUAAAACCAUUUUUGCUUAUGUAAGAAUAUGUAACAUAACAUGUACUUCCCACAAAGGAAUUGUUUUUCUGUCUUCUGCACUCAGUGGGUAUCUCCAAAACAUAAUCUCCAAUUUGUAUGGGUGCACGCUGGUUCAAUUUUACAGUUCUUAUUGCCAUUUACUUAUGGUACAAGAAAGGGAUUGCUGAGUUCCCAGUUCUAAAGAUAGUUACUUUCUUAGUGACACAAAUUAAUACAUAAUACAGUUCACCCUUGAACAGCAAGGGUUCGAACUGCAGGGGUUUACUUAUAUGCAGCCUAAUCAACCUGAAGAUAAUGAAGAUGAAGACCUUUGUAAGGAUCCAUUUAUGUUUUAUGAAAAGUAAAUAUAUUUUUUCUGAUGAUUUUUGUUUAACAGCUUCAUUUACUUAAGAACACAAUAUAUAAUAAUGCAGCACAAAUAAAAUAGGUUUUAAUAGACUGUUUAUGUUAUCAGGAAGGCUUCCAGUCAAUGGUGGGUUAUUAGUAGCUAAGAUGGGGAAAUUAAAAGUUAUACUCAGAUUUUCAACUGCACAGAGAUUAGAGUCCCUGACCUCCACAUGAUUCAUGGAUCAACUAUUUAUUUACUAAAUACAAACAAUUUAUUAUAAAAAUGAAACAGAAGAUCCCUAUGUAUAACAAGUUCAAUUUGUUAUAAUGUGACUUAGAGAAAACAUAAAACAUACCAACUUGACAAUCUUUUUUCUUAUUUAUGCAAAAAAUAUUAUACAGAAGUUUUGGGAUUGUAAUUAAGUAAAUGAUUUUUUUUCAGACAAUACUGUUUCAGAUUAUAGAUACAACUACCUUCUUAAAUAACUCUGAAUUCCAAACUAAAGAAGUUAAAUUUUGAAAAUUAAUUUACAUAUAUGUAUAUACACAUAUAUAUACUUGCAAUUUACACAUAUUUUUAAACUGGUCUUUUUACCAUUAAAACUACCUUAAUCUUACAUCUUUCUUUUUUAUCAAGAGUAGGACCAACAAGAUAAAUGAGAAAUUUACUAUCAGAAGUCUUACUUGUAUUGAAGUGUCUUCUUUUUAUGUUCCAAAAUUUGAUGUCAAAUUCUAUGGUAUAAAAACUAAUAAAUAAAAUUGUUAUUUUAAUACUAAAAUAAAAAAUAUUUACCAAACAUAAGUUCUUAAACCAUUUCAGGCGAUAUCAGCGCUAAUAACAGAACUUUAAUUUCUGUCCCAUACACUUCAAAAUUUUAAGCUUUACAAGUUUAUUAACCUUUUAAUUAAAGAAAAAAAAAAGUGAAGUACUCAUGAAUGGAGGGAGCACAGCUUAGUAAAUUAACUAUAGUUAGCUGGAAAUUGUGCACAGUGUCCUGCACUCAGAACAAGUCCUUGCUCUGUAACCAGUAGGUAUUUGUGUUCAGACAAGUUGCUUCUGUUAGGCUCCAUGGUUUCUUCUAAAAAAUAAGGAUUUGCUGCCUUACUUCACUAGGUUGUUAGGAAGAUGUAAUGAGAUUACUUGCUUAAAUGUUCAGAGAAAUAGUAAAGCGAUGGAAUAAUUUAUUCUUGAACUUUAUUGCUGAAACUAUUUUGGAGUCCCAAAUAAAGCUUGAUGUUUGUUUUUCCAUAGGUUCUAAUAUGUGAAUGUUGCAGUUUUCAUAAAAUGUUAUUAAGUGCUAAUUUUAUUAGUUGUAUUUAUUGUGGCUUGUAAAUCAGGGCAUUUUAGGUAAUUCAUAACUAAAUUUAUAUAUAAAUAUAUUAUCAUUAAAAUAGAUAACAUAAUUGUCCCCUAUUACUGAGCUCAUCAGUCACGCCAAGAGCAGAAAAUUAACAGAUGUCAACACCUGGCUUGGACAACCACCACUCCUUCUCUACCUCCUCAAACUCUGAGCCAGCACAUCUGUGCCAGGAUGCUGAAUCUCCAUGGUCCGCUCCAACUAACAGACAAGAAAAAACCCUGCUUUCAUUGUUUUUCAGAUUUAUGAAGGAAAUGCAAGUUGACAUUUUCCCAUUUCCAAGACAUGUACUAAUAACAUAUUUGCAUGUAACAUCCCAUGUGUUACUCAGCUCUGUUCUCAUUUCAUAGAUCACCAUACACCAAUAGUUAUAUAGUGAUUAUCACAAUUUUAAUAUCGGGUAUCUCCAAUUUUGGUUUGACUCACACUGCUUCCUUGGAGCUGGUCAAAAAAUAGUCAAAUGACCUUCCAGGGUCAUUGCACAAUAUGGAAUGCUUUAUGAAUUUGUGUGCCAUCCUUAGGCAGCAGCCAUGUUCAUGCUUAUCUGCUCUGUAUUGAUCCAUUUUAAAGUAUAUGCUGCUGAAGCAAGUACAAAGCCCUGUUUUAUACAUGGAUAUUCAUGAGUCAUAGAUGGCUCUGUUAAAUCCAAAUCACCUGCCUGAGAUUCAGAUAAUUUUAUUGAAUGGCUUCCUAUGAGGUAGAACUUUAAAAUAUAUUUAAAACUUGAGGUAGAUAUGCAGGUAGCCUGGGAGAUUUUUAUUCUUGUAGAAAUGGAUUAUCUGCGGGGCCAACUGCAAGUUGGUUCCCACUGCUCUGUGGACAGGUAACAUGGAACCUUCUGCUAUCUAACCAAAGCUGCUGCACAGGAUAUAAAGAAGUCUCAAGAUACAAAUCUGUCAGCAAAAGGGAAAGGGAACUCUAAUCUCUUCCUGCAACAUUAUUUGAACAUCUCUGACUGGUGGGAACAAUCUCAACCAAUAUUUGUUAGAGGAAAGACCAACAGGGGUCUCAAAGGAUAACUUACCAUGAAGGCCUCGGCUAAGUCUAGAUAAGAUGUGGGCUCCAAAUAAUGUUUUUAGCGUAGGGGAAGCAUCAGUUUGCCAUUUGUGUGGGUAAAGCUAGAAGGCCUGGCUCCCAGAGCAGGGUGCUGGGAACAAUGGCUGAGCAUAAGUACAUAAACUAAUAAACACCGUAGCCUUGAACCCUAUGUAUGAAUCACCAUGAAAACUGAGGGGUCUGUGCAUCCUUGUGGCAAAGGUCAAUCAUUAUCAGAUUGCAGGACCAAUUACAAUGGCAACAAUACAGCAAGUGAAUCCAUGGAAACAACAGAAUAAUUAGAAUGGCCUUUUUCCCCAUUCUGACUUGUAAAGAAAGAUUUCCUUCCUUGGACUUAGAAAACACGUUAGGUUCUUGGAAAAUUCAAAGAAGGAAGGUACAGGAGAUAGUCCCAGGUGACAAUAAAAGAUUUUCUGCUAAAUUGAACAUUUCAAGACCCAAUAACUCAUUAGAAAAGUCAGGCUAGGCAUGGUGGCUAGCAGUUUGAGAGGCUGAGGCAGAAGGAUUACUUAUGCUCAGGAGUUCAAGACCAUUCUAGGCAACAUAGGGAGACCUUGCCUCUACAAAAAAAAAAAAAUAAAAGAAAAAAAAAAAAAAAAGAAAAAGAAAACAAAUCAAAGAUGUGGCUCUAUUUUUAUCUGAUGCAUGGGGAUUAUACUUAGAAUAAAAUGAACCACAUUGAGAUCCCUAGGGAUAAAGGUCUUAAAAGUCCUGAAAGAAUCUUGCAUUCUACUUCUAACUAAUCCUACCUUCUGCUUGAUUUCUAGCUAAAAAGUGGACUAACUCUUGCUAUUUCAAACUACCUGAACCAAACUAUGAACUCUCACCUAAUGUAUAAGAUUCAACGGUUGCAAUUAUUUUAAACAUCAAUUUAGUAUUAACCGGACUUUUAAUACAAACACCUUGUCAAACCACGAAAAACAGCAUAAUCUUCUGCAUCUCAUACACACAUAUCUUGAGUAAAGACAUUAAUAUUUUGCUGAAGAAAAAUAUUGACAAUACCUGAUAAGCCAUAAUGUACAGGAAGCAUGAAGGCUGUUCUAAAAUAACAACUCCAUUCAAGAACUUUAAUAAAGUCAUUACUAAACAGCUAGUUUGAUACACUUUAUCAAUUUAAUAUCCUGCCUGUCAAUGUAGACAUACUAACCGUUUACAUGUACUAGCUUGUGUCUAUAAGCAUCUUGGGUGCUCAAGUGUUCAUCUUUGUAAAUUAUCAGCAAGGCUAAAAGGGACAACAAGGAAGUCUCUUGUUCCCCUGGGGUAUGACAUAAUACAAGUUGGUAACUUAUAGUCCCUUGAUGGCCAAGAAACUGUGCUGAGGUCAUUUAUCUAAAGUAGGCAAAGAUUUAAAUCAAGAUUUCCCCAUUGCUUUCCUAGUCUGAUAUACUGUAAUUCAUAUCAGCUAGGAGUCAGAUAAGGGCCAUCUACAGCCUGAAAACAAUAAAUAAUAAUAAUAAUAAUAAUAAUAAUAAUGCAAUACUAGUAGUCAUAAACUAAAAGCCCACACUUCAAAAUUUAAUAAAACUAAUACAAAAACCUUUAGCUAAUAUAAGAUUACAAGACCAAAAACAUCAGAUCACAAAUAACAAACACUCUGUAAGUGAAAAUGAAUCCUACUCUAUGUUCUUUAUGUUGCUUAGUCCAAUAUUUGCUUUUCUACCUAUCUGUGCUGAUAUUUUUCACCAUAUGCCAAUAAUUAUGUUAAUUUUAUUAAUUUCUGACUUGAGUGACUCUACUCUAGAACACUCAGGUUUUUAUUUUAAACAAGAACUACUAUCUCAGCCUAUCAACAGCAUGUACAUUUGCUUGGUUUUUCACUAAAAAUUCCACCAUUUGCUGUCUCUUGUAAAUUAUAGCAAAUAAAAGUGGUGUUCCCGUCCUAUAAAACAGCAAAAAAAAAAAAAAAAAAAAAAAUUCGCAAAAUUACAAAUUUCUCAAAUGAACUAAAAAUCUUCUGUAAGAUAUUUGAACUUCAACAUACAACAUAGAAAGGAAAUAAUGAAAACCAGUCCCUUCCUCCUCACUCCUCUGUGCUUUCAGAUGUGCUGCUCUCUGCCUUGCAAACACCCCUCCUCUGCCUCCCCACAUUAACUGUGGUCAUCGCCAGAACUCCCUUCAUACAUACCAGUCCCAAGAAUCCUUGCUUUGAUCACAGCACUUAGCAUGGCAUAUUGUAAUCACUUCAUUGUUUCCCUCUGAAACCAAGAGCUUCUUGAGGGUAAGGGCUGUAUCUUUUAUCUCUACAGCCCCCAAAACCUAAAACAUAGUAGCAAAUAUUUUGUUUUUUACAUAAAUUAAUGAUCUAAAUUGUUAUCUCUAGAGCAGUGUUUCUUAAGCUAUAUUCCAAAGAAUAUUUGCUUGUUGUACCCCAAGAGAAAGACUCCAUGACAAUCUGCAUAUGAGAAGUAUUACAAAACUGUAUUUUAUAACCAAUAAUCAUGAAAUCUCUUGAACUUUACCUAAUACCCAUUUGGCAAUACUUUUUGUGGCAAAUAUGAACAUUUAAGGAAUUAAGAGUUUCAGAGAUACAGUUUCCAGAGCUUCCCGAUACAGUUGGAGGUUUCCUCUGGGUGGUACAAACUUGCUUGAUUCACUUCUAUCAAUGAUGUUAGGAUCCCAGAUGCCAAUGUCAGGCACUCCUGCUCCAAAUGGGCCACUAAGGAAGUGAGCUCUGAAUUAACAGUGAUUGGCUUCAAAUGUACAUAUUUUCCAUAUUAUUAAACAGUCUGUGGGUUUCUUUUAAUACAAGAGUUAUCUUAACUGUUAUAAAGCUCAGUAUGUUCUGUAUGAGAGAGACGGUUAAAAAAUUUAAAAAUAAUUAUUAAAAAAAAACAAUGCUCAGUAAGAAACUCUAUUCUCAAUUGUAAUGGUAAUGCUGGGACCCUAAUGCAACUCUACCUUUUAAAUCCAUUUUUACUGGUUUCCAUUUAAAUGGCUAUUUAAAAUUAUUUUUUAUUUUAGGCUAAAUAUAACGCAAACACAAAUAUAAUGGCUUAUCAGUAAAAGUUACUGAUCCCUAUGGGUUAUUUCUAGCAUAAUAAAAGAAGUAAGUCACUUGCAUUUUUAAGGAAGAUUGCUGAGGAGAAAGAUAUAAUGGCUGCAAUAUUCCUAAACUAUCCAACUAUAACCAGGAAUAACCUAAGAAAAACUUCUAGGCAUUCGUAUGGGAAGAUGCUUAGUUGUGGUAUAGAUAAAGAGUUUUAAACUAAAUUCUAAAAUUCAACCCCAUAACUGAGGGAUUUAUAUAAUCUAUAGACUAUAUGUUAUAGACAAAUACACACUGACUUAAAAGCCUUGAAAUCUUUAUCAAAAUAUACUACAACAUAAGAGUUGUAAACUCAAAUACAAGGACAAAGGAAGGUGAUCUGAGUAAGGAACGUACUGAUGUGGGCAGAGUAGCAAACUGGAGAAUAUAUGCCUUUUAUAAAGGAGCUACCUCUGCACAGCAGGCCAACGGUGAAAGAAACUCAGGGGGUACCAUAUUUGAUUUUUUAGGACAAGUCUGAAGUCCAGAUUUCUGCAUAAGACUUGUAAAUUUUACAUGUUGACUCAAUGUAUAGAGGCAAACAAAUCUGUGCACAUUUAGAAUACAGCCCUUUUGUUUUUAUAUUUGCUAUGAAUGUGUAACUAAAUGGUUGUGUAUAAUCCAAGUAUUUGCAUGUAAAAUAUUUCCUUUCUCUAGUAUUGUAUGUUUUACCAAAAAAUCAGGCCCUCAUAUAUAAUAAAAAUUGCUAUUGACUCAUAAUACCCACUUUAAUAUUUUUCCAACAUGUAUUCAUUUACAAUCUAUUUGUAUACAAUUUUCCCAGAUUGUUAGCCAAAUAGUUUAUAUGACUGCCAAAACUAAAUUAUUAAAAUAAUUUCUAUGGAAAUUCUUUUAAUCAAAAGAAUUUUGAUGUAUAUCAAAUUUAUAUCAGCUUCAUGGAUUUCAGUGUGUAAAGCUGACAUCCUGGUUAUAUUAAAGAUCUAUAAACUUAACAGACAUACUGUGAUAGUUCAUAAUACAACUUCAACUAAAAAAAAAAUUAGGAUUGGCUAUUAUUUUAAUUGAGAAAACCCAACUUGUAAUGAAUAUUUGUUGACACAUAAUCACCUAUGUGGUGACAAAGGGGCAUGAAAUCAUUAAAGAGUCAGCCUCUUCUCAUUGAAAGAUUACUUAUAAGCAAAUUUUUAAAGACUCUCUGAAUGGCAGUGAAUGAUUAAUGGUGGGGAAAAAAAGGUGUCAUCCUGAGAGCUGAGAGAUACUGCCAAUAAUGUUCCCUUUUACUUCCCAGUCACAGACAGAGAAAGGCAGCUAAGUCAGGCUAAUCUUAUUGAAAGGAGAACUUUGAAGAAAGUAGUACCUAGCAAAUGCCAACUCUUCUAGAGAUUUUUUUAACCUUUUUUGAGAUACAGAAAUGUAUAUAUUGCACUUAUCUAUUCUGGGGUUCUUAAACAGGAGUGUAUCCAAACCUCAAGGUUUUUUUUUUUUUUUGCUGGUAUUGUGGUUAGAGAUAAGAGUCUCACUAUGUUGCUCAAGCUGGACUCAAACUCUUAGGCUCAAGCUGGGACCAAAGGAACAUGCCACUGUGCCCAGCUUCAAGAAAACAUUUUAAAACAUACACAUUCAAGCCUUAUUAGAUCUAUUACAUCAAAAACUUCACGGGAAAGCCUAAAAGUUUAGAUUUUUAACAAAAUUAGCUCAGGUCACUAUAAUGCACAAUUCUGAGAAUUCGUGCAGCAGGCAAUCACUUCAGUCUCAUCCCUCACCCACACGGCUAAUUCCCUUUAUCAGUUGUAGAUGUGGCCAAAAAAA